CCUACGGGUGGCAGCAGUGAGGAAUAUUGGUCAAUGGGCGCGAGCCUGAACCAGCCAAGUCGCGUGAGGGAAGACGGUCCUAUGGAUUGUAAACCUCUUUUGUCGGGGAGCAAAAGACGCCACGCGUGGCGUUCCGAGAGUACCCGAAGAAAAAGCAUCGGCUAACUACGUGCCAGCAGCCGCGGUAAUACGUAGGGGGCAAGCGUUAUCCGGAUUUACUGGGUGUAAAGGGAGCGUAGACGGUUACGCAAGUCUGGAGUGAAAGGCGGGGGCCCAACCCCCGGACUGCUUUGGAAACUGUAUAACUGGAGUGCAGGAGAGGUAAGUGGAAUUCCUAGUGUAGCGGUGAAAUGCGUAGAUAUUAGGAGGAACACCAGUGGCGAAGGCGGCUUACUGGACUGUAACUGACGUUGAGGCUCGAAAGCGUGGGGAGCAAACAGGAUUAGAUACCCGGGUAGUC
rnacentral:rRNA from 1 species